rnacentral:rRNA from 1 species
UACAGAGGUCCCAAGCGUUGUUCGGAUUCACUGGGCGUAAAGGGUGCGUAGGUGGUUAGGUAAGUCCGAUGUGAAAUCUCCAGGCUCAACCUGGAAAUGGCAUUGGAUACUAUUUAGCUUGAGGAGUGGAGGGGGGACUAGAAUUCUCGGUGUAGCAGUGAAAUGCGUAGAUAUCGAGAGGAACACCAGUGGCGAAGGCGAGUCCCUGGACCACAUCUGACGCUGAGGCGCGAAAGCUAGGGGAGCAAACAGG